rnacentral:lncRNA from 1 species
UCAUCAUCAUCAUCAUCAGAGAAACAGAGAGUGAGAAAGGAUGAGGGGCAGAGCUUCAGAGAGAGCACAACCAGGUGCGGAAGGCAGGAGCACGUACAGGUGUGCCCCUCGUGGGCCAGCCAGCCGCCCAGCUGGGCACGCCUUUCUGCAGCACGUAGCAGCAGGGGACCAGGCACAACACACAACAUCCCCGAGGUGUUCGGUAUCACCACAGUAAUGAAGACUGAACGCUCAUCUUAAACUUCCAGCACAGGAAUUUAUAUGCAGGCGCUAAAAUAAGAGAAAGAACCUGUGAAGGAUGCACAAGGGAAGUUUAUGAUCUGCUUCCCUUCUUUUUGUUGCCACCCCUAAAACACCACCCUCUCUGUCAUGUGCUACCAGGAACACACUCCUCUGUUUCAUGAGUUUUUCCAAAACUAAGCCAUGGUGAAGAAUUAUCUUGCGGCUGUGUCUUUAAUUAAACUUUAGAGGAAGGCGUAGUAGGGUAGCAUCCAUUCACAUAUAACACUUCCAUGGUCACACGCCUUCAGAAAUGACUUCUCAACUCAUUUAAAUCGCAGAAUAAUUUGAGUUUUUGCAAGAUCCAACAUUUGGAAGCAUCAAAGGCUUACAAGAAGUGUUACUAAACCUUGGCAAUUACAUCUUCCUUCCCUCACCACUAUCCAUUUCAAGCUACCUUUGCACAGCACAAGCAGGGAUAACCCAUCUCAUCCUUGAACUCUGAUGAGAAAUGACUUGCUAUGGAUCUACGCAACCCGGCGACAGGGCAUCAGCCCGACCCUCACCCUCACGGGACCUCAGCCUACGUGUUAUAACGCCGCACCGGCGCGCAGCUGCAGCCAUGCAGGCGGGCUCAGGAAAGGUUAUCGAGUGUUUCGUGUGACAGCUGUUUGCACUGGGGGAGGAGAGGACCUCGAUUCAUAACACCAGCGAAGGGAAGGCAGCGCAGCACAUCAGGGGACACCUCCGAGCACACCUGUACACACACUGCCCAGAAAAGCUGCGAAUCGGCCCCGCAGCUCUGAACCAGAUCCGCCCUCAAACGCUGACAGCACAUGCUGCUUUCACCGGGGAAGGAGCUACCACCCUCCCCACCAGCCACCCAGGCCUUUUGUUUCUUUUUCAAACAACACAAAAAGGAGACAGAAAAUUCAGCAGCGGACCUGUCUGGGCCAGCUUAACGCUGGGCAGCCAGCGUCUGUCGCACCGCCGGCAUCGCUCGGGAUCACAAACCAUCAGGGCACCAGACCCGGGCCUCGGGAAGCGAGCACCACGGCCGGACAGAAGGAGAGGAUGGGGAGAUGCUGUCCUCUGGACAGGGCGAGCAGCACGUCCGACAAUUUACCUGUCAGCAGCGUGGAAAAGGAUCGCGUAGCUGGGCUGGAAAAUCCCCAGUGUAAAUACAGUGGCAGGAUAAAAAAUCCGUAUGGCAUAUCAUAUUUUAUUUGGGGAAUUUGCUGCAAUUUAUGCCGGCAAACGAGUAAGCUGCAUCUCCUCUGGGGCUGGCUGCUGGUAUUAAUAGACCAGCAAAACCUUUCUAGCGUAGACAAGGCUAAGCAACUCCUGAGGGAUACAGCUAUGAAAUGAUAUUCCGAGGGAAGAAACAAAGAUGUUUCUUAAUCCCUUUUGCAUUGUACGAUUUCCAGGCUGAGGCAGUUCUUAGCAUAGAGUAGGAAAAUCACAGGGGUUUUGUCAGGUUUCCCCAGGGAGCCCCCGCUCUGUACAGGCUUCCCCAAACCCAGAGCAGUACAAAGGAAUGGGAGCGAAGGCUAGCACCCAGGCAAAAUGCCCACUGCUGCCACUGUCUCUGUCCGGGUUAGAUUUCGUGACCUUUAAGAGUGGAGCUGUUCAUCUGUAUAGCAUAGUUUUCAGUUUCCGUCCUCGGUAAAGCUUGUGGAGUUUUUUGGUAUGUCUCACAGACUGAAAGGUCGGAUGUGAAACAGGGUAUUGGUGUCUUAAUUCAGAAUCUCCCUUCAAGUAAAAUGUGUUACCAACAGGGAUUUGUUGAGGCACAGAAAAAGCCCUAACAAAAAUGGGAACGUUAGACAAGCAGCAGUGAUUACACCACUCACAAUUCCUAUCAGUUCCCAUGUUAACAUCUUUCACAGUACUUAAACACAAAUGGCUUCCUAGACACGAUGGACUUAAAUCUGGGAGGUUUUCCAGAGAUCUGUAACAUUAGUCUGGAUUGCAUGUGAACUAGUGGUAUAGGGCUAAAGACACUGAUCCUCACAGUAAUUAUAACUGAAUUUGUUUUGCUAAAAAUGAUCAGCAUCUGUCAAAUACUACAUGCUGCAGCAGUGAGAUCAUAUAAUGAACAGCUAUUAAUGAAUGUCCAGAGCAACUUUAUAAUGGGUAUUCCAAAGAUAUGCAUGAAACAUGCUUUUUAAAAGCUCCAUUAAAAGUAUAAUAAAAUAUAAUCUUCAAAAGUACA